rnacentral:rRNA from 1 species
AAUAUUGGACAAUGGGGGCAACCAUGAUCCAGCCAUGCCGCGUGUGUGAAGAAGGUCUUCGGAAUUUAAAUCACUUUAAGUAGGGAGGAAGGGCCUUAGGUUAAUACCCUGAAGUUUUGACGUUACCAACAGAAUAAGCACCGGCGAACUCUGUGCCAGCAGCACCGGUAAUACAGAAGUUGCAAGCGUUUAUCGGAAUUACUGGGCGUAAAGCGCGCGUAGGUGGUUCAGUAAGAUGGGUGUGAAAUCCCGGGGCUUAACCGGGGAACUGCUUUCAUAACUGCUGAGCUAGAGUACAGUAGAGGGUAGUGGAAUUUCCUGUGUAGCGGUGAAAUGCGUAGAUAUAGGAAGGAACACCAGUGGCGAAUGCGACUACCUGGACUGAUACUGACACUGAGGUGCGAAAGCGUGGGGAGCAAAC